AUCCCUAGCUCAUAAUUUUAACCAUUUGUUUCUAUUUUCAUGGUUUGGAUUUUCUUUUUUAGUAUCCUUGAUUAGAUAUAAAAGAAAAUCCAACUCUGUACCUAAGAAUUCUAUGGCUUGGGUGAGUUAUCUUCCUCUCAGGGCCUAUGCUUCCUUAUUCGUAAGAGGAUGGGGUUGGCUACAUGAUCCUCAAGGUAAGUCAAUAUAAAGCCACUAGCUCCCAUCCUCAUGUAAAACCUAGUUCAUCCAAUCACUCAUUCUAGAGACUUCCUUCUUUUCAUUUGCUGUCCAUGUUUUUACUAUCUCUUGGUUCUCCUUCUACCUAUUCUGACCAUUCCAUCUUAUUCUAUCCUUCCAGGAUUCCUCUCCCACCUACCCUGGUAUUUGCCAUGGUCACUGGCCUCAGAAACUUGAAGUGCCCUAUACUUACACAUUAGUUUGAAAUCUGUGCCUGUGUUUUAUGCUCACUGCACUCUUAGAUCUUUGAGGGAUCAAAUCUCUUCUUCCUUGUUCAUUUUUGAAUAACUAGUGCCCAACACACAGGAACAUCUUAACUGUUUACUGAAUCCAAUAGAACAGUCUGUGGUGUUAUUACUUUCCAAGUUCUCUAAUAUUUUCUACAAUGUUGUUACUCAGUAUUUCACAACUCAGUAGGAGUUUGUCACUAGGAAGCCCGAGGGAAAUGCAGAGUCUCAGGCCACAGUCCGGACCUACUGAACCAGAAUCUGCUUUUUAACAAGAUUCCAAGGUUAUUCAUGUGCCUACAGAAGCUGAAAAGAAUUUUUCUGUGCUAUCCUUUAAUCAUUACUUCUGAUAAUUAACCAGUGACAAAACCAGACUUGCAACAGAUUUUACUGGAAUUCUUUUGUUAGAACAGGUGUUUCCUAUCAGAAGGAGAGUGAGAGUUUUGUCUGAUCCAUUUGAUUGCUCUCAUGGAAAUUAUGGGUGGGCCAGGAGCUGGGAGUGGACCUACUGGGAAGCAAAAGCAGCUGCCUCUGGCUACUGAAGAGCACCAGACCUGUCAGUAAGUUUAGACCUUGAAGGGACAAAAGAAGAAAUGCCAAGAGGGAGAUUCACAGCAACAAGAAACCUUAAAAUAAAAAUUAGGGCAGGAGGAGCAACAAUGGAGCACCUAAGAUAUUCCAAGAAAUCAGAUUGGGGAGUAAAGGAGACCCAGUCCCUUGCUUCACAUGGAAUACAGUUCAAGGUGAGGAACCAAGACCCAGAGAGACACAAACCAAGCCCGUAACACAUACAGCUACCAAGUGGGCAACUGAGAAUCGAACUCAGCUGAGACCCUAUUCAUAACCCUUAUCCAUGCUGCUUUUAAUCAUCAGGAUCUCAUCCGGGACACCACAUUGCAUUAAUUGCCACAUCUUUUCAGGCCUCUCUGGGUUGUGGCAGUUUCUCAGACUUGUUUUUGACAAUCCUGGUAAUUUUGAGGAGUACUGGUCAGAGAUUUUAUAGGAUGCCUCAUUACUGGGAGUUGUGUGUUUUAUUAUAAGGCUUGGGCUGUGACCACAUAGGUAGAGUGCUAUUUUAUCACAUCAUAUCAAAGGUAUGGAUUAGUAUUACCAUUAUUUGUGACUGUCAAUGUUGACCUCGAUCAACUGGCUUAAGUAGUAUCUGUCAGGUGUCUCCAAAGUAAAAGUACUCCUCCAUCCUUUUCCAUAUUUCAUUUUUUUGGAAGGAAACUUCCAUGUCUCUGUGUUCAGGAUACUUAAGAAUUAGGGAUGCUGAACGGAGAAAUAGCCAGAUACCAAUCUCUUAAAAAAAAUUAACUAAACAAAAAAGUUGGGUUCAGUGGCACAAGCCUGUAGUCCCAUCUACUCAGGAGGCUGAGGCAGAAGAACCACUUGAACCCAGAAGUUCAAGACCAGCCUAGAUAACAUAGUAAGACCUCAAUUCAAAAGGAAAUAAAUAAAUAAAAUUAAUUAAAUUAAAAACAAAAAAAGGAUAGAAGAAAGAUUUGUGGUUCUCAUCUCCGAGCACAAAGUAUCUACGUAGAUCAUUUGGAAUUCUUCACCAAGGGAGUUUUGUCCCUUCACCUUUAUUUAUUAAUUUGUUUAACCAUUUACUUAUACCAAUACAGAUUUGCGGAUAUUUAUUUUAUACCUGGGGUGAUGAUUCAAUGCUACUUCCUCUAUUUUGUUGCUUCAAGUGUUCCAGACGUUGGCCACUUCAAGCUCCUUCAAGUGGCUCCUCUGAUGUACCCGUGACAUCAUGGUGUGUGUUUGUACUUAUCUCUAGCAUUUUCUUACUUUAUAGCACUACAAGGAAGUCCAGGCUCAUCUUGAAUACUUCCUGCCUCAGUCCUAGAAUCGAUUAUUUCUCCAAGGACAUCUGGUUCCUUGUCUGGGAGAAGGGCAUUAGAAAUCAAGAUCUAGGCAUGAGCUGAGCUUAUUACUAGGUUGUUGUUCCUUUUAAGUCCUCUUAGCCAGCAGAGCAAAGAAAUAUUUAUGUGUAUAAUUAACCAAGGAUGCUAUUUUUGACAUUAUUCUCUUUCAGUAUGUUCCACUCAAAGUUCUCACCCAUGGCCACACUUUUCUCUCUAUCAUGUAGAAGCAGACUUCUUGCAAAUCUUCAACUCUAAUCAAAAUCUCUCUGCCCAACCUUAAAUCCAUAUUCCCCUCCCUCUCUCUUUACAUAUAUUUUUUUGUGGUGUUGUGAUAAAACCCAGGGGCUCACUCAUGCUAGGCAGGCACUCUCCCACUGAGCCCCAGCCCCAGCCCUGACCCAUAUUCUUGUCCUUUCUUUUUGCAGAUAUGACUGCCUGAUUUCCCCACAGGCCCCUAAAUCAUGUGAUCUUAAAACCUGAAGGCACUGAAUCUGUUUCUCCUUCUCUCUUUAUCAGUGAUCAGAAUAAAGCACAAGUUUUUCAUCCUUGUAUAUAAGGUCCUCUAUUAAUUGGUCUGUGAUUUCUUCUCCAGCUAUGAUGUGGAUAAAAAUCAUUAAAAACGAAGUAUACAUUUUAGAAGAGAGCACAGGACAGACCUCUGAAAGUUCUUAAGGGGCAGAAAGGAGAUUUUUGAAAGAUAGAAUGGAAAGGAGUUAGAAUGGUCAAAGGAGUGAAAAGAAAAAGUGUCAUCACAAAAUGACUGAGACAGGACGUCAACAACCCGUUAAGUGCCAUGGUGAGUUGGGAAGGGGCUGAAAAGCAUCCUUGGGCUUAGCAACUAGCAAGGUUUUGGUGACAUGAUGGGAGAGGAAACAAGACUGAAGUGGAUGAGUAAACAGAAAAUAGAAGGCCGAUUAAUCUUUUCACAAACUUGCCCUCAUGGGAGAAGAAGACUUCACAGGGUCACUGAGCAAAUUAUAUCAAAACACACAUAUAAAGACAGUCUGUCUAUGGGGUAUGGUGGUACACACCUCUGAUCCCAACUAUUCAGGAUGCUGAAGAAGGAGGAUUGCAAAUUCAAGGUCAGACUGGACAAUUUAUCAAGACCUUGUUUUCAACAACAACAACAACAACAACAAAAUAGCAGCUUGUAAAUCAAAAGAAGUUGUCACAGAAGAAGUCUGGAAUUUGGAACAGAUAAUCCUGAUUUUAAGAUCGGUUCUGUCACUUAAAAACCAAUUUAACAAGUAUUCCAUUUCCUCAGUUUAAAAUGAAAAUAUUUGUUCAAUUUUGAAUGGUUGGCAUCAGGACUUGUAAAUACUUAUGAAAGUACUGGCAGAGGGCUGCCCCGAAUAAGAGAGAGAUUUUCCUAUAAAUAGAUUUGUGCAGGAUGGGAGUAGAAAAUAUAAACCAUGUAAUCUUUAAUGUGAAAAAAAAAUAAGGUUUUUACUCAUUUUUAAGCCUGAGAUUUCUGCAUCUCUGAAGUCUUACAUUUAGUUCCAGCUAAAGGAAUCCUUUCUGGUGGCACUCAUCAGUGAAUGCCUACAAUUCCAGUUAUUUAUGAGGCUAAGGCAGGAGGAUGGCAAGUUCUGGGCCAGACUUGGCAACUUAGUGAGGUCCUGUCUCAAAUAAAAUGAAAAAAUGGAUGGAGGUAUAGCUCGAUUGAACACUUGUAUAGCACGCAGCAGGCCCUGGAUUCAAUCCCCAGAAUUCUUUCUAAAGUUGCCUAUUGCUCUUAGACAAUGGGAGUGUAUCAAGCCUGUGUGGUGUAGAGACAAGGAGCCGAGUGGUAUAGUUCUGUGGAAGACUGGAACACGACAAGACCAUAAAUCAUGUUACCUGUUCAGAUGUUAGUCCUUAGCUCUAUUUUAUUUAUACUUAUUGUGAAAAGCCUAUUACCAUUCUGUUCUGCACCUUCAAAACCUCGAGUUGCCUUUUUGUGAUAGGUUUUCUAAAAAAUAUAAUGCUUUGUAAAAGAUAUCUGGAGUUCAAAAGACCCAAUAUUACCUCUUUGGGAAUAUAAUCAUUGAUUUCAAAAAGAAGUUUGCUAAUAGGUUGUUAUAAAUGAUAAUCACUUUAAUAUGUAAAAAGGCCCAAACCUUUUUGAUAGAUGGAGGCACUUCAGAACUCAGUCUGAACACUUCCUUUGGUCCCAAAUGAAUAGUAAAUUACUUGGUGAUUGCAACAGAUUCAUUGUCUGAAAACAUUGUCUUAGACAUGGGAGUCACCUCCUUAUAUUAGGCCUUGUUUGAUACAGGUUCCUUUCUACCUAACAGGUCUGGUCAUAAUUCUUUUUUUUUUUUUUUUACCUGCAAAACAUAAUAUAUUGUAUUCUUAAUGACAAUGAUACUGUUUAAGGUGACCAAAACUAUGUGAUAUGUUGACUAAGUCACACUUGUACAGAAGAAUAAUCCAAGAUAGGGAUAUAAAAUAAAUUCUCAGAGGUAAUUGUUCAUGGAAAGAACUGGUGUGUGUGUGUGUAACUUUGUGUAUGUUUUGUAAGUUAUUUUAUUCCUCAGUGAAUCUCCUCAAUAAAUGGUGCUGAUUCAUUCUUA